rnacentral:rRNA from 1 species
ACGGGUGGUAAUGCCGGAUGUUCCAGUUGAUCGCAUGGUCUUCUGGGAAAGCUUUCGCGGUAUGGGAUGGGGUCGCGUCCUAUCAGCUUGACGGCGGGGUAACGGCCCACCGUGGCUUCGACGGGUAGCCGGCCUGAGAGGGCGACCGGCCACAUUGGGACUGAGAUACGGCCCAGACUCCUACGGGAGGCAGCAGUGGGGAAUAUUGCACAAUGGGCGCAAGCCUGAUGCAGCGACGCCGCGUGAGGGAUGGAGGCCUUCGGGUUGUAAACCUCUUUUAUCGGGGAGCAAGCGUGAGUGAGUUUACCCGUUGAAUAAGCACCGGCUAACUACGUGCCAGCAGCCGCGGUAAUACGUAGGGUGCAAGCGUUAUCCGGAAUUAUUGGGCGUAAAGGGCUCGUAGGCGGUUCGUCGCGUCCGGUGUGAAAGUCCAUCGCUUAACGGUGGAUCCGCGCCGGGUACGGGCGGGCUUGAGUGCGGUAGGGGAGACUGGAAUUCCCGGUGUAACGGUGGAAUGUGUAGAUAUCGGGAAAG